rnacentral:misc_RNA from 1 species
AAGUCGUAACAAGGUUUCCGUAGGUGAACCUGCGGAAGGAUCAUUAAAAGGUUUAUCUGGGGGUGGGUAAAACCCUCCUGGAAAACUCCACCCUUGUAUAUUAUUACUUGUUGCUUUGGUAGGCCGCGAGAUUGCCUAGCGAUUGAGCACCGGCUUCGGCUGGAGAGCGCCUGCCAGAGGACCAAACUCUGUUAUUUUAUGUCGUCUGAUUACUAUUUAAUAAGUCAAAACUUUCAACAACGGAUCUCUUGGUUCUG